rnacentral:misc_RNA from 1 species
GAUGAAGAACGUAGCGAAAUGCGAUAAGUAAUGCGAAUUGCAGAAUUCCAGUGAGUCAUCGAAUCUUUGAACGCACAUUGCGCCCUUUGGUAUUCCGAAGGGCAUGCCUGUUCGAGCGUCAUUAUCACCCCUCAAGCCCUCGGCUUGGUGUUGGACGGUUUGGUGGAGGCCCCCUCGGGGCUCCUGCCCCUCCCAAAGACAAUGACGGCGGCCUCGUUGGACCCCCGGUACACUGAGUUCUUCACGGGACACGUAUCGGACACAUGGGUUUACGGGACACGGUCUGCCUCCCCUCAGGGAGAAUCUUUCUAAGGUUGACCUCGGAUCAGGUAGGGAUACCCGCUGAACUUAAGCAUAUCAAUAAGCGGAGGA